UGACAGCCCACUUGUGUCGUCCGAAGUUACCACACUCCAAUUGUUAUUUACCCUAAUUUCAUCUUCACUUUUACAGCAUUUCAUCGAUCAUCCAUCCAACGAUCCCUGAUUUCUCCGAUCGGUCGAAUGUCUGUGCAUAUGGACUCUGUAGAGCAGAUAAAAGCUGAUGCGAAGCUCAUAAGGAUUGUUGAGGAGCAACUGAAAGAGAAGGAGCAGGCUUUGAAGAAAAU